GCCGCGGCAGCUCAGUAGGUAGAGCGCGGGACUGUUAAUAUCCCGUGGUCCCCGGUUCAAGUCCGGGCCGCGGCGCCA
rnacentral:tRNA from 1 species